UUAAAAUAAAAUUUAGAGCUAAUCAUCCCGAAAAUAUUAAGAUCUACUUAGAUAAACCAUAUGUUAGAAAUAAAAUUAUUGUAGCAUAAAUAAAUUAAAAUAAUUAAGUAGCGGUGAAAGGCCUAUCACUUUUAUUGAUAACUGGAUUAAAAGAAAAUAUAUUAAGUAUAUUUGACAAUUUUAAAACGAUAAGGUUUUAAAAGAAAUGAAUAAUAUAUAAAUUUUAAGGUAUUAUUUAGUAAAACUAUAUAAUAGAUAAGUGGUUAUAAAAAUUAAACUAAUGGAAAAUCAUGAGUCAACCUUUUAUUUGUUUUAGCAAUAUAACUUUACCAUUAAUAAUGUAUCAAUCAGUAGAUAUUUUAAAAUAUUAAUAAGGAACUCGACAAAUAACUUGUACGACUGUUUAUCAAAAACAUAACCAUAAGCAAAUUUUUAUGGUGACGUCCGCCCAGUGAUAAUUUUAACGGCCGCAGUACUUUGACUGUGCAAAGGUAGCAUAAUAACUUGGCUUUUAAUUGGAGUCUGGAAUGAGUGAAAUAACGUAUAAAAAUUGUCUCAAUAAUAAUAUAGCAAAGUUAAUUAAGAAGUGAAAAUACUUCUGUAUAUAAUAAAAGACGAGAAGACCCUUAGAAUUUUUACUAAAUAAUUAUACUAAUCUUUCGUCGUUUUAGUUGGGGCAACUCUAUUUCAAAUAAAUAAAUGGCAUUAUAAGUUAAUUAUACCGAUUUAAAUAAAUAAAAAUAAAUUACCUAAGGGAUAACAGCAUAAUUUUAUUAAAUAAGAUUGUGACCUCGAUGUUGGACUAGGUAUUGUUAAAGCUAAACGUUUUAACAUUUAUGUUCUGUUCGAACUCCUUUACCUACAUGAUCUGAG
rnacentral:rRNA from 1 species